CUGGGUCAGUGAUGAUGUCUUUUUUCUAGUUGCUUGAUGUACCAUGAAGGCACUUAGUCACUACCUCAUCUGAGACCCGG